rnacentral:rRNA from 1 species
AGUCGAGAAUCAUUCACAAUGGGGGAAACCCUGAUGGUGCGACGCCGCGUGGAGGAAGAAGGCCUUCGGGUUGUAAACUCCUGUCAUAAGGGAGCAAGUCUUGUUGGUUAAGAGCCUGCAAGAUUGAUAGUACCUUAAGAGGAAGAGACGGCUAACUCUGUGCCAGCAGCCGCGGUAAUACAGAGGUCUCAAGCGUUGUUCGGAAUCACUGGGCGUAAAGGGUGCGUAGGCUGUUUUGUAAGUUGGAUGUGAAAUGCCGGGGCUCAACUCCGGAACUGCAUCUGAAACUGCAAGACUUGAACAAUGGAGGGGAAACCGGAAUUCUCGGUGUAGCAGUGAAAUGCGUAGAUAUCGAGAAGAAGACUUGUGGCGAAGGCGGGUUUCUGGACAUAUGUUGACGCUGAGGCACGAAGGCCAGGGGAGCGAA